UACGUAGGGUGCGAGCGUUGUCCGGAAUUAUUGGGCGUAAAGAGCUCGUAGGCGGUUUGUCGCGUCGGCCGUGAAAUCUCCACGCUUAACGUGGAGCGUGCGGUCGAUACGGGCAGACUUGAGUUCGGUAGGGGAGACUGGAAUUCCCGGUGUAGCGGUGGAAUGCGCAGAUAUCAGGAGGGACACCAAUAGCGAAGGCAGCUCGCUGGGACGGUACUGACGCUAAGGCGCGAAAGCGUGGGGAGCGAACAGG
rnacentral:rRNA from 1 species